rnacentral:lncRNA from 1 species
AAUUUUUUUUCCUUCCUUGUAUUUACCUUACUAUUGUAUUGGAGUAUCACAAAAAAAAUCAAAAUUCAAAAAAAAUUUGAAAAAAAAAGAAAAAAAAAGUGAGCAAAAAAAAAGAGUAAAAAAAGAAGAAGAAAAAAAAAGAAGUGAAAAGUCUUGCGAGUUUUAUUUUCAUCUCUUAUUACUCCGAUCAUCAAGUAUCCCUUCCUACCAUUAUUUAUCCAUCCCAACGCCACACUUUAAACCAAUUUUUUUCUUUGUUCAGCCUACCUUACACCUGACAUUAUCCCUUGUAACCCAUUUUGAAACCG